AUACGGAGGGAGCAAGCGUUAUUCGGAAUCACUGGGCGUAAAGGACGCGUAGGCGGGUUUGUAAGUCAGGUGUGAAAUCCUACAGCUCAACUGUAGAACUGCACUUGAAACGACAGACCUAGAGUAUGGAAGGGGCAGAUGGAAUUAGUGGUGUAGGGGUAAAAUCCGUAGAUAUCACUAGGAAUACCGAAAGCGAAGGCGAUCUGCUGGGACAUUACUGACGCUGAGGCGUGAAAGCGUGGGGAGCAAACAGGAUUAGAAACCCCAGUAGUCC
rnacentral:rRNA from 1 species